rnacentral:rRNA from 1 species
UGCAGGCUGCAACUCGCCUGCAUGAAGUCGGAAUUGCUAGUAAUCGUAGGUCAGCAUACUACGGUGAAUACGUUCCCGGGCCUUGUACACACCGCCCGUCAAACCAUGAGAGUUGGCAACACCCGAAGUCGGUAGUCUAACCGCAAGGAGGACGCCGCCGAAGGUGGGGUUGAUGAUUAGGGUUAAGUCGUAACAAGGUAAC